UACAGAGGGUGCGAGCGUUGUCCGGAAUCACUGGGCGUAAAGGGCGCGUAGGCGGCGUGGUAAGUCAGAUGUGAAAGCCCUGGGCUUAACCCAGGAAGUGCAUUUGAAACUGCCAUGCUUGAGUAUGGGAGAGGAGAGUGGAAUUCCCAGUGUAGAGGUGAAAUUCGUAGAUAUUGGGAGGAACACCCGUGGCGAAGGCGACUCUCUGGACCAAUACUGACGCUGAGGCGCGAAAGCGUGGGGAGCAAACAGG
rnacentral:rRNA from 1 species